GACGAACGCUGGCGGCGUGCUUAACACAUGCAAGUCGAACGGAAAGGCCUCUUUCGGGGGGUACUCGAGUGGCGAACGGGUGAGUAACACGCGAGUAACCUGCCCUCGUCUUUGGGAUAACUUCAGGAAACUGUGGCUAAUACAGGAUAGGAGCUCUUGCUGCGUGGUGGGGGUUGGAGAGUUUCGGCGGUUGGGGAUGGACUCGCGGGUUAUCAGCUUGUUGGUGGGGUAGUGGCUUAUCAAGGCUUUGUCGGGUAGCCGGCCUGAGAGGGUGACCGGCCAAAUUGGGACUGAGGAUCGGCCCAGACUCCUACGGGGGGCAGCAGUGGGGAAUAUUGCACAAUGGGUGGGAGCCUGAAGCAGCAACGCCGUGGGCGGGAUGACGGCCUUCGGGGUGGAAACCGCUUUCGCUCAUGACGAAGCUUUGUGUGACGGUAGUGGGUAAAGAAGCACCGGCUAACUACGUG
rnacentral:rRNA from 1 species